rnacentral:rRNA from 1 species
UAAGGGCGCACGGUGGAUGCCUUGGCACUAGAAGCCGAUGAAGGACGUUACUAACGACGAUAUGCUUUGGGGAGCUGUAAGUAAGCUUUGAUCCAGAGAUUUCCGAAUGGGGAAACCCAGCAUGAGUUAUGUCAUGUUAUCGAUAUGUGAAUACAUAGCAUAUCAGAAGGCACACCCGGAGAACUGAAACAUCUUAGUACCCGGAGGAAGAGAAAGAAAAUUCGAUUCCCUUAGUAGCGGCGAGCGAAACGGGAAGAGCCCAAACCAACAAGCUUGCUUGUUGGGGUUGUAGGACACUCUAUACGGAGUUACAAAGGACGACAUUAGACGAAUCAUCUGGAAAGAUGAAUCAAAGAAGGUAAUAAUCCUGUAGUCGAAAAUGUUGUCUCUCUUGAGUGGAUCCUGAGUACGACGGAGCACGUGAAAUUCCGUCGGAAUCUGGGAGGACCAUCUCCUAAGGCUAAAUACUCUCUAGUGACCGAUAGUGAACCAGUACCGUGAGGGAAAGGUGAAAAGCACCCCGGAAGGGGAGUGAAAUAGAACCUGAAACCGUGUGCUUACAAGUAGUCAGAGCCCGUUAAUGGGUGAUGGCGUGCCUUUUGUAGAAUGAACCGGCGAGUUACGAUUUGAUGCAAGGUUAAGCAGUAAAUGUGGAGCCGUAGCGAAAGCGAGUCUGAAUAGGGCGUUUAGUAUUUGGUCGUAGACCCGAAACCAGGUGAUCUACCCUUGGUCAGGUUGAAGUUCAGGUAACACUGAAUGGAGGACCGAACCGACUUACGUUGAAAAGUGAGCGGAUGAACUGAGGGUAGCGGAGAAAUUCCAAUCGAACCUGGAGAUAGCUGGUUCUCUCCGAAAUAGCUUUAGGGCUAGCCUCAAGUGAUGAUUAUUGGAGGUAGAGCACUGUUUGGACGAGGGGCCCCUCUCGGGUUACCGAAUUCAGACAAACUCCGAAUGCCAAUUAAUUUAACUUGGGAGUCAGAACAUGGGUGAUAAGGUCCGUGUUCGAAAGGGAAACAGCCCAGACCACCAGCUAAGGUCCCAAAAUAUAUGUUAAGUGGAAAAGGAUGUGGCGUUGCCCAGACAACUAGGAUGUUGGCUUAGAAGCAGCCAUCAUUUAAAGAGUGCGUAAUAGCUCACUAGUCGAGUGACACUGCGCCGAAAAUGUACCGGGGCUAAACAUAUUACCGAAGCUGUGGAUUGUCCUUUGGACAAUGGUAGGAGAGCGUUCUAAGGGCGUUGAAGCAUGAUCGUAAGGACAUGUGGAGCGCUUAGAAGUGAGAAUGCCGGUGUGAGUAGCGAAAGACGGGUGAGAAUCCCGUCCACCGAUUGACUAAGGUUUCCAGAGGAAGGCUCGUCCGCUCUGGGUUAGUCGGGUCCUAAGCUGAGGCCGACAGGCGUAGGCGAUGGAUAACAGGUUGAUAUUCCUGUACCACCUAUAAUCGUUUUAAUCGAUGGGGGGACGCAGUAGGAUAGGCGAAGCGUGCGAUUGGAUUGCACGUCUAAGCAGUAAGGCUGAGUAUUAGGCAAAUCCGGUACUCGUUAAGGCUGAGCUGUGAUGGGGAGAAGACAUUGAGUCUUCGAGUCGUUGAUUUCACACUGCCGAGAAAAGCCUCUAGAUAGAAAAUAGGUGCCCGUACCGCAAACCGACACAGGUAGUCAAGAUGAGAAUUCUAAGGUGAGCGAGCGAACUCUCGUUAAGGAACUCGGCAAAAUGACCCCGUAACUUCGGGAGAAGGGGUGCUCUUUAGGGUUAACGCCCAGAAGAGCCGCAGUGAAUAGGCCCAAGCGACUGUUUAUCAAAAACACAGGUCUCUGCUAAACCGUAAGGUGAUGUAUAGGGGCUGACGCCUGCCCGGUGCUGGAAGGUUAAGAGGAGUGGUUAGCUUCUGCGAAGCUACGAAUCGAAGCCCCAGUAAACGGCGGCCGUAACUAUAACGGUCCUAAGGUAGCGAAAUUCCUUGUCGGGUAAGUUCCGACCCGCACGAAAGGCGUAACGAUUUGGGCACUGUCUCAACGAGAGACUCGGUGAAAUCAUAGUACCUGUGAAGAUGCAGGUUACCCGCGACAGGACGGAAAGACCCCGUGGAGCUUUACUGUAGCCUGAUAUUGAAAUUCGGCACAGCUUGUACAGGAUAGGUAGGAGCCUUUGAAACGUGAGCGCUAGCUUACGUGGAGGCGCUGGUGGGAUACUACCCUAGCUGUGUUGGCUUUCUAACCCGCACCACUUAUCGUGGUGGGAGACAGUGUCAGGCGGGCAGUUUGACUGGGGCGGUCGCCUCCUAAAAGGUAACGGAGGCGCUCAAAGGUUCCCUCAGAAUGGUUGGAAAUCAUUCAUAGAGUGUAAAGGCAUAAGGGAGCUUGACUGCGAGACCUACAAGUCGAGCAGGGUCGAAAGACGGACUUAGUGAUCCGGUGGUUCCGCAUGGAAGGGCCAUCGCUCAACGGAUAAAAGCUACCCCGGGGAUAACAGGCUUAUCUCCCCCAAGAGUUCACAUCGACGGGGAGGUUUGGCACCUCGAUGUCGGCUCAUCGCAUCCUGGGGCUGUAGUCGGUCCCAAGGGUUGGGCUGUUCGCCCAUUAAAGCGGUACGCGAGCUGGGUUCAGAACGUCGUGAGACAGUUCGGUCCCUAUCCGUCGUGGGCGUAGGAAAUUUGAGAGGAGCUGUCCUUAGUACGAGAGGACCGGGAUGGACAUACCUCUGGUGUACCAGUUGUCGUGCCAACGGCAUAGCUGGGUAGCUAUGUGUGGACGGGAUAAGUGCUGAAAGCAUCUAAGCAUGAAGCCCCCCUCAAGAUGAGAUUUCCCAACUUCGGUUAUAAGAUCCCUCAAAGAUGAUGAGGUUAAUAGGUUCGAGGUGGAAGCAUGGUGACAUGUGGAGCUGACGAAUACUAAUCGAUCGAAGACU